rnacentral:rRNA from 1 species
AUUGAACGCUGGCGGCGUGCCUAACACAUGCAAGUCGAGCGGUAACAGGUGUAGCAAUACAUGCUGACGAGCGGCGGACGGGUGAGUAACGCUUGGGUGACCUGCCCUCGAGCGGGGGAUAACUGCCCGAAAGGGUGGCUAAUACCGCAGAUCUCCGUGCUUCGGUGUGCGGAGUGAACUUCCGGGGUUCGAGGAGGGGCCCGCGGCCGAUUAGCUAGCUGGNGGGGUAAUGGCCUACCAGGGCAUCGAUCGGUAGCUGGUCUGA